rnacentral:rRNA from 1 species
CUAGCGACUUCAAAGUUUGAUCCUGGCUCAGAACGAACGCUGGCGGCAGGCUUAACACAUGCAAGUUGAACGGUAUUGUUGAGUAGCUUGCUAUUUGACAAGAGAGUAGCGCACUGGUGAGUAACACGUGGGAACGUACCUUUUGGUGGGGAAUAACGUUUGGAAACGAACGCUAAUACCGCAUAAGCCCUGAGGGGGAAAGAUUUAUCGCCGAAAGAACGGCCCGCGGAAGAUUAGGUAGUUGGUGGGGUAACGGCCUACCAAGCCGACGAUCUAUAGCUGGUCUGAGAGGACGAUCAGCCACAUUGGAGCUGAGACACGGUCCAA